rnacentral:rRNA from 1 species
UGCAAGUCGAGGGGCAGCAUUUCAGUUUGCUUGCAAACUGGAGAUGGCGACCGGCGCACGGGUGAGUAACACGUAUCCAACCUGCCGAUAACUCGGGGAUAGCCUUUCGAAAGAAAGAUUAAUACCCGAUGGUAUAAUCAGACCGCAUGGUCUUGUUAUUAAAGAAUUUCGGUUAUCGAUGGGGAUGCGUUCCAUUAGGCAGUUGGUGAGGUAACGGCUCACCAAACCUUCGAUGGAUAGGGGUUCUGAGAGGAAGGUCCCCCACAUUGGAACUGAGACACGGUCCAAACUCCUACGGGAGGCAGCAGUGAGGAAUAUUGGUCAAUGGGCGCAGGCCUGAACCAGCCAAGUAGCGUGAAGGAUGACUGCCCUAUGGGUUGUAAACUUCUUUUAUAUGGGAAUAAAGUUUUCCACGUGUGGAAUUUUGUAUGUACCAUAUGAAUAAGGAUCGGCUAACUCCGUGCCAGCAGCCGCGGUAAUACGUAGGUCACAAGCGUUGUCCGGAAUUACUGGGUGUAAAGGGAGCGCA